GCUCAGUUCUUAUAUGCACAAGAUGACAAGGAAAAUGAUCGAAAAGUGAAAAAAAGUUGCAGAAUGUGAAGUUGGAAAAAUUGGGCUGAAGUUCAAAAUGACAUCUCUCUCUCUCUCUCGAGGCAGAACACCUUCAGGGUAAAUAUGUAUUGAACACUUCCCACGGCUUCAGCCCUGCGCUAAGGCUGCCAUAUUAGGAGAGGACUUGGGAGGAAUGAUGCUCACAAGCUCUGCUCCAAAAUGAUACACUACUCUUCCUCCUUGAGAACUAAAGGAUGAAAACAAUGAGUCCAAUUCAUAGGCGACUGAUACAUCUCACAGCUAAAAAACUCUAAGAGUACCUAUCCUGUUUACUAGGUAUAUGGAACUGGGAAAACCUCGAUAUGUUAUUGGCUGGGAAGACCAAUAUCUGGCCAAAUGAAAAGGCAAGUUUAUUAGGAUGGUGAUUAUCCAAUAAAAGGAAUUACUUCAGCAGGACCUGGAAGAGGACACACACUUUCAUAUGGACAAAUUAGAGAGAGAGAAGAAGAGAGAGAGGCACAUGGAUGUAGCAUACACUGAAAAUUCUGUGUACGUAUCUUCUAUUUGCUGAUUGGGCCAGCUCUCCAACCUCUCUCAGCAACACACAACCUUGCACAACCUCAGUAAUCACCGUUCACCCCUGCAGCAGAUCCUUGGUAGAUUUCAUGGAAUCUUGCCUUACACAAGCCUGGUUAACCCCCAGCAGAGAUCCCAGGUGAAUCCUCACACAGAGUUUUGGUGCCCAUCCUCUGUGCAGCUUCCUCUUCUCUGAAUACCACUGGCUUGCAAAUUCCAGAUGCUUCAGGCAGCCACAAAUUCCAAUCUCAGACCCCAAAACUCAGCAUGACUGUAAAUCUGCUUGGGCUCCCCACCCUGUGCCAUGGCAAGAAGCAGUCCCAGGCAAAAAAAAAAAAAAAAAAAAAAAACCCAAACAAAACAACGGGGAAACAGUAGGGCUCACCUCGUGUUUCCUUUAUCUCAAUGAUGUUGUUUAUUUUUACAUCAAAAUCAUAAAAUCAAAAGAACGUAGUAUCUGAAUGAGGACUGUGAAUUUUUUAAACUUCUCUUUGUUUAGUGUCACAUUAAUAAAUUGGAAAAGAAUAUUUAACUGAUUACAGAAAGGAAUCAGAAAAUAUGAAUCCAGUUACACCUCCAGAUUUCAACAAUUCACCCCACUGAGCUGUUGUUUUCUCUUGACCUUCUCUAUGAGGCAUCAGAGGCUUCUGAGGGGUAUCCGUUCACCAUAAGAGCUCCCUUAGAAGCUGCUCAACUAUUAUGCUGUUUCUAGGCCAUGGAUACUUAAAUUCGGCACAUCCUGAAGCAACAACAUGGUCACCCCAGACUGUGUCAUCUCAAUAACUGGAAGAAAUCAACAAUUGCCCUGUUAAAGCAUCUGUCAUUAUUCCACUUUAAUACAUGUCCAGCUUCCUCUAUUUCCCUUCCAGCUCACCCAGUCAUUUGCUUUGCUCUCCAGUUGCCCAAGCCCAAGCCCUGAGGGAUGCUGAGGACACUUAACACCCUUGUUCCCAAGAAGAGGAGAAGGCUGGUGUGAGGAAGGAAUGGUUUAAGCUUCAUGUACCAGCAUCCAGCGGGAAUGGGACCUAAGUACUCUGAACAUUCUGUCAGCUUGCUUACCUGAUAAGGCAAGAAUGAGAAUCAUUUUCCUAGGAAACAAUGGUAUCUGUCAUGAAACUGCAAAGACUAACAGUAUUUACAACUCCAAUGGGGCUCCAGCAAUUAACCAUGAACCAGCUGCCUGUCACCUGGCCUUGAAGAACAAUUCAGUCUUAUGUUCUUGUAGCUCUUUCCACCACUUUUGCCAGGAAGAGAAAAUGAAGGGUUAUCAAUAAACCUUUUGCUUUGGAUAUAUUAGCCUUGAGUUUGAUUAAUUGUCUUGUGAAAUAUUUACUCUUCUCUUUCCUGGCGAUGUCAUUCCCAUAGCUACUUUUGAUACAGCUAGCUAAUUACCACUUUUUGUCUUCUGAA